rnacentral:lncRNA from 1 species
AAUUUUAAAUUUUCCGCAUUCACUACAAAAACACUUUUCAAAACCCCCCUUUCGUGUUAGACUUGACUCUGAACCGCAGUUGGUCCUUGAGAGACGACCUAGGGGUCAUUCCCUAGCAUUAUACUGCAUUUCUGAAUUGCAAUCAAAUUUGUAUGGGCCGCGACAACCAUCAAUGAUUUUUCAAAGUUACUAGAGAAAAUUGACAAGAAAAGAAUUACACAUUACUCUAGACAAACAUGAAUGGAUUAAAAAAUUAAAAUGACUCAAUCAAUGAAAUGCACCAAAUAUAAAUAAAUAAAAGACCCAACAAAAAAGUAAGGAAUGACUCAGAAAAGAAAAGGCACAAUACAGUAACCAAAAGUAACAAAACAUAACUUGGAAAAUGCUAAUG